GAUGAACGCUGGCGGCGUGCCUAAUACAUGCAAGUCGAGCGAACGGACGAGAAGCUUGCUUCUCUGAUGUUAGCGGCGGACGGGUGAGUAACACGUGGAUAACCUACCUAUAAGACUGGGAUAACUUCGGGAAACCGUAGCUAAUACCGGAUAAUAUUUUGAACCGCAUGGUUCAAAAGUGAAAGACGGUCUUGCUGUCUCUUAUAGAUGGUUCCGCGCUGCAUUAGCUAGUUGGUAAGGUAACGGCUUACCAAGGCAACGAUGCAUAGCCGACCUGAGAGGGGGAUCGGCCACACUGGAACUGAGACACGGUCCAGACUCCUACGGGAGGCAGCAGUAGGGAAUCUUCCGCAAUGGGCGAAAGCCUGACGGAGCAACGCCGCGUGAGUGAUGAAGGUCUUCGGAUCGUAAAACUCUGUUAUUAGGGAAGAACAUAUGUGUAAGUAACUGUGCACAUCUUGACGGUACCUAAUCAGAAAGCCACGGCUAACUACGUG
rnacentral:rRNA from 1 species